AGUCGAGCAGGUAACCUGUAGUUUCUUUGUCUAAUCAAUAGAAUAGGAAUGGAAAUUUGUUUUACAGUGUAUUUGCGCCCCUGCUUAUCGUCUCUAUUAGGCAUAAGUCCUAAUUAUUCUUACGUGUUUGCUGCAUACUGAAGACUGCAUACAUAAACACAUUCGUGUUGUACCAAACCGUUAAUGCUGCGUAGAAGUUGUUUGUUACUCUUAUUUAUCUUAUAUCCUUUAUAAAAUUGCAGAUACAAAACAAAAGCUGACAUUACAGUAAUUAAUUUUAACAACAACGGGUGACAGAAUAUGCAUACUGACACAACAUAUCCUCAAAGUUUGCUUUUUUAACUGAAGAAGGCAGUUUUCAGGUUUGCAACAUUCAUUGUAGGCGUACAGAAUAAACUGAAAUAUGCUGUUGCUGAAAUGACUGAAGGAGCUGUUAUCCCAUUAAUCGAUAUAAAUAAGUAAAUUAAUGCUGGCAUUAAAGAAAGCUGUUGCAGUUUCCUUAGUUUCCUCGAAUUAUGCCGAAGCAUAUUGGAUGGACUGCAAUUAUUGUAUAUCUUAGAUUAGCCACAAGAGGGCGUUUGCUCGAUGCCAUAAAUGUAUUGUAAUUUAUAGAGGUAGCCACUAGAUGUCCUUUCCAAAAUCAGCUUGGUGGAUCCAAUGGCAAACUUUAUAAAUGCGCACAACGAAUGAAGAGGAUGAAAUAGUCUGAUAACAUCCUUGUUAAUUUCCCUUGUGUUAAAUUAUAGUGGUAAAGAACAGUUGCCUAAGGCUAUGCUGUUUGAAAUGUAUAAAUGUUUAAAACCAUUUGAAAAUGGUUCUUUACAUUUUUCAUCUUUGAGAAGUCUGUUACAUAUAAUUAAAACUUUUAAAAUGUUUUAAUCCCCCUCGCCACAAACAUGUGGACGUGUUUGCACAUGCCUUGACAGACACCCCAGGACAGACAGCUUGCAUUCUUUCUCCCCCCAUCAUUUUGUCUCCCUCCCACUAUUCCGCCUCUCCCUCUCACACUCUAACCUCUUCCCCCCUCUUUUGCACACGCGCACACGGGAUCACGGAGACGCACAUCACGGCAAAAAUAUGUCAGAUUCGGAGACCUCAGUGACUGUCCGCAUGGAGGCUCUUGUCCCUGCUGUCUGCCAGGUCAUCAAGGAGGAUCUGGAUAAAUGUGUGAAGGAGAAGGGUGAGGAAGGCUGCAAGGAGCUGUUGGAGGCCUUCCAGGCCUGCCUCAAGACCACAGCAGAGGGUACAUGAAGAGGAGAGCAGAACCCUAAGAGGCGUCCUCAGCUUCCUCUGCAAUCCCUCCUGCACUGGAAUAAUUCACCCUUGGUUUCUGUGGAAGUGGAAAUUACAUAAGAUGAAAUGUCCUGUAUAAAUGUUUUAUUCAAUCUCCUUAUUUUAAUAAAGUUUGUUGCAUUGGUUUCAUACCAUGCUAGGAAACACCUUAGGCUAUAAUUGUGAAAUACAUAAAGGAUUACAAUAAAACCUAUAUGGUGACUGACAAUGGCUUUUUCAGAACUGGAA